GGCUUCAUAGCUCAGUGGAUAGAGUGCUGGUCUUGUAAACCAGGGGUUAUGAGUUCAAUCUUCACUGAAGCCU